CUCUGUUUUCUUCUGAGCCGCCUCUGAGAAGCCUCUGUACGUACACGAUGUGGCUGAUCUGGGAUAAUCGUGCUGUGCACAAUGUUUAAGGAGAACAUUGCCAUGAAAUGGUGGGCUAAGGAAUAGCCUAAAAAACCUAAAAGGCUCGGGAAAAGCCAAAGAGAACAGCAAUGGGCUCUGGGAAGCCCCAGUGACACUACAGAAAACAGCGUGGCUUUUAGGCACCUCCUCAGAGCAGCAGCAAAGUCUUGCUCCAGCCUGUGGGACAAUGGGGACUCUUAAUUACCACCUUGAAUUACCACAAGUGUUGCAAAAGCAGAAGGGACUAGGGAGCACGCAGAGCAGGUUGUGGACUAUAUGUCAAGUUUAAACAAGCAACAAGCCCCUCUGCAAAUAGGAACAGGUUUAGCCCUAAGUACUCGAUGAAGGUAGCUGUGAGUAACGUGAAGCGAAGCGGUUACGUCAAUCACCCCGAAAGCCUCGGAGAAGUGGUGCAAACACCUGAUACCCUCGCGGCCUCGGCAGUCUUUUUGGUUUGUUUGGCAGGGUAGUCCACCGAAGGGGGACAUCUCGAAGAGAAGCAGCGAGACCUGGGGAUCCGGUUGUUCGUUUUGGUCAUCGCCUGUGAGGCCAGCAUCCGAGCGUAAGAGGAAUCUAGGCGCUGUCUCGAAAAGAGAUGGCACCAAGGACAGCAAAUGCUGACAAAGAGAAGAGACGGACAAGCAUUUUCUUGUGAUUAAUACCGAAGGGACGGGAUGAAACAAGGAAGCCAAAAUGCAGUGGACCCUCGAUAUCACCAGGAACUGCUACAGGAGGCGGCGUUCUGGCACGGGUAACUAAGGGCGAUGGAUUUUACUCUGCCUCCAUCAACAGGCGCUGGCUGGCAAAGUCGUCGUGUCCCAGCGGAGACUCUUAGGCAGGACGGGAGGAGUUCAGAUGCGCAGCCUGCCAGAAGAGCGUCGCCUGGGAGGGGUCGCUAGCCUUGAGCUACAGGCACUGGUGCGUACGGCUCGUUCUGUCAGACGCAAAGAGGUUUUUCUUUUUCGGUUGCAGAAAUCUUGGCUUGGCUUUACACU